UGGUCCCUUCGCAGCGAUAGGUAAUGAACUCCGCCAGGCCCGGAAGGGAGCAACGGUAGUUACUGAUUCGGGUGCCGGGGUGUGGCUG
rnacentral:SRP_RNA from 1 species